rnacentral:rRNA from 1 species
AACGAACGCUGGCGGCGUGCCUAACACAUGCAAGUCGCACGAGAACGUCUCAGCUUGCUGGGACUAGUACAGUGGCGCACGGGUGAGUAACGCGUGGGUAAUCUACCUCCGAAUUGGGGAUAACACUGCGAAAGCGGUGCUAAUACCGAAUAAUAUCCGGUUGACUUCGGUUUUCCGGAUCAAAGGUGGCCUCUACACGUAAGCUACCGUUUGGAGAUGAGCCCGCGUACCAUUAGCUUGUUGGUAGGGUAACGGCCUACCAAGGCGACGAUGGUUAGCUGGUCUGAGAGGAUGAUCAGCCACACUGGAACUGACACACGGCCCAGACUCCUACGGGAGGCAGCAGUGAGGAAUUUUGCGCAAUGGGGGCAACCCUGACGCAGCAACGCCGCGUGAGUGAUGAAGGCCUUCGGGUCGUAAAGCUCUGUCAAGUGGGAAGAAAUUGCCGGUGGCGAAUACCCAUCGGCAUUGACGGUACCACUGAAGGAAGCACCGGCUAACUCCGUGCCAGCAGCCGCGGUAAUACGGGGGGUGCAAGCGUUAUUCGGAAUCACUGGGCGUAAAGGGCGCGUAGGCGGUCGUUUAAGUCAGGUGUGAAAGCCCUCGGCUUAACCGGGGAAGUGCAUCUGAUACUAAGCGACUUGAGUAUGAGAGAGGGAAGCGGAAUUCCUGGUGUAGCGGUGAAAUGCGUAGAUAUCAGGAGGAACACCGGUGGCGAAGGCGGCUUCCUGGACCAAUACUGACGCUGAGCGCGAAGGCGUGGGGAGCAAACA